rnacentral:lncRNA from 1 species
AUUUGAGUUUCCAGCAGCUUCAGUCAGCCACCAGGCUCAUCCACCACCCAGCUUCCAUGGGAAGAUUCGGCUUAACAAGACCAAGCCAACAGUAGAGAAGGACGCCCAGCUGCUUGGAAACUCCAGGCUUUCCCAGAGAAGCAAUCCACCUGCCCCUUAGCCCGGGGCAUUUUCCCACAGACCCAUCUGUGUCUGAAGGAAGGGAAGGACCAAGGCGAUGAAGGACAAGUGAGCCAUUGCAGCCACACUCCCAGAUACAAGCACCCUUUGUUCUGCAGGAUAAAUACAGCCCGUGCUAUUUCAGAUGAUUUCUCUAUAUAGCAUUCCUGACUGUCCUGGAACUCAAGAGAUCUGCCUAACUCUGCCUCCAGAGCUGGGAGUAAAGGAUGAAGAUUUAUAAAAUUGACCAGAGAUCUCCCAAUACCCAGAAUUCAAC